CCUGGCGGCCGUAGCGCGGUGGUCCCACCUGACCCCAUGCCGAACUCAGAAGUGAAACGCCGUAGCGCCGAUGGUAGUGUGGGGUCUCCCCAUGCGAGAGUAGGGAACUGUAGGGA
rnacentral:rRNA from 1 species